AUAUUGGACAAUGGGGGCAACCCUGAACUAGCGAUGCCGCGUGUGUGAAGAAGGUCAUCGGCUUGUAAAGCACUUUACGUUGGGAGGAAGGCAAUCAGGCUAAUAUACUGAAGUUUUGACGUUACCAACAGAACAAGAACCGGCUAACUCUGUUGCAGCAGCCGCGGUAAUACAGAGGGUGCAAGCGUUAAUCGGAAUUACUGGGCGUAAAGCGCGUGUAGGUGGUUCAGUAAGAAGGGUGUGAAAUCCCCGGGCUUAACCUGGGAACUGCUUUCAUAACUGCUGAGCUAGAGUACUGUAGAGGGUAGUGGAAUUUCCUGUGUAGCGGUGAAAUGCGUAGAUAUAGGAAGGAACACCAGUGGCGAAGGCGACUACCUGGACAGAUACUGACACUGAGGUGCGAAAGCGUGGGGAGCAAACA
rnacentral:rRNA from 1 species